GUGCGGUGGUGGUAUACCUGUUGUAUACCUGUUGCAUUUGGGACUUCACUGAGAGAAUAAGAAGGAAUCGACGAUGGACUGCUACGCAAGAAGGACGCAAGCAUUGCUGAGGAGCCAUUUGACCUGCCGCCACACUAAUAUUAUAUUUGGCAAAGCCGAAGGCCUCUGCAAGCAGCCAGUCAUUCCAAGUCUCAACCAAUCCUUCCUCUAGUCAGUCAAAAUCUAGUGUCUAUGCGGAAAGGACUAGCGCAAGAG
rnacentral:lncRNA from 1 species